UGCGCUUACACGUGUGUUGAAUACUGCUGAGUAAGCGGGCUAUGAGAUAUUUGUCGAUGUUUUGUAUGAAAUUUCAGGGGAAUUUACUCAGCUUCAUCAUCUGUAUCUGUUCUCCUCUCUAUCUUCUAUCAAGUUUUCUCCAUGGGCCUUUCCUGGAUUUCUCAAUAACAAUCUUCUAUCAAGUUUUCUCCAUGGGCCUUUCCUGGAUUUCUCAAUAACAAUACGUCUGGUCUAUAUGUUCUUCGCUUCACUUUCAGUUUCAGCUGUUGUCUCUAUGAUUUUUUUGCCUUUUGAUAAUUGGAGAUACAGACUACAUUGAAACAGAUGCAUUCUCGGAAUAAAAAUAGCUCUUCCUACUCGGCAGAAUGAAACGCAGAAAUGAAUUUCAGACGGCGUGAGAAGUAUAAGCAAAUGGCAUCAACUGAAAAACAGGCUCUACUGCUACAACGCCGACUACGAGCAAAAAAAUCCACUACAUCUGCAUUGUCAUCUGAAACAGACUUCUAGAGAAGCAAAAGAAGCAAGAGAAGUUCACUUUGAAAGAACAAUUACUGUUUCUGAGGCUGAUAUGUUGUUAGAAAAAUAGCUGAAUGUUGAACAACGAAGAGCAUACAAUGUAAUUAUUGCCAGAAUAUUUUCAGAUAGAGGGGGAGCAUUCUUUAUUGACGGUCCUGGAGGAACAGUGAAAUAGCUGCAUAUACGACAUUCUUAAGGGUGUACAUUUAUCAGCAAACUAAACUGCACUACUGCACUGUAGGUGGAAGUAUAGCACUGCUUAUUUAAAUGAAUCAGCCAAUGUAAAUAUUGAGUAACUACAAAAAAUGGUAAUCUGAUAGACGCUCCUUUUUAGUAUUAUUCAGUUGUAAGCUAAGGUACCUUUUGUUGAUGCUAAAUGCCAGGUAAAACUGUUGCCUUUUUAUUACUUUAUGCGUCCUCUUGUAAUUUUUGAUAUUGCUGCCUAGAGAUAUACUUUCUAAUUGUAUUGAUCUGUUUUAUUAUAGAUCCUUCUCCCUCUCCAUUCAAACACAGCAUCAAACCAACAAUCUGCAUUCAUGUCACCCACAUGUUUGGUCGAAACUGAUCGUGAAGGAGUACUUGAGGGUUUUGCUGAAGUAGUACGUAUGGAACCUGAGAAGGCAGAGUGGCAGCAGAGAAGAUUUACCACUUGGUGAUUCAAGAGAAGCAAGUAUUGACAAUACCAAAGGGGGUUAUUCGAAUCUGUUUUCCUGCAUAUUACAGACAUUACCUUUAGAUUUCAUCUUCUGCAAUUUUAAAGUGCUAUUUGUUCUUUUAGGCUUCCAUUAAUUGUUCCAUUGUAUUUUCUUGUAAACGUGUUCUUCCUUGAUAUGAAUGUUCAAGGAAAUGACAAAAUCUUUGGUAACAACACUAGCAGAAUGUUAGGUUCAGUUGCUACUUCUACUAUUUGUUUUGAUAAUUCCAAGGAAGAUGAAAAUGUUCAUAAAUUUGUUAA